CAAACUUUAAAGUCUUUAUUCCUAAUGAACAGAUUUGAUAGUAAUUCAGAGCUGUUUGGUGAGCAAGACAGUUCGUUGGGUCAAAAAUUGAGCUUUUCCCUUAAUAGAAGGUGUUAUUAUAAUGAAAUAGAUUUCCUUUGUAACAGAUUAGAAUUCUGUUACAGAAGAAUGUGGAAUAUACUGAUCAUUAAAAUAAGUGGAUGGUUCUCAUAAAGAAACUCUUCUGAAAACUAACACAUUUAAAGAUACAAGUUCCAAAUUUAUAUGUUCUUAUUGCUUUAUUGGUGCACCCCUUUGCAUAUAGCCUUUGAAGCUCAAGAAACAAAGCAAUAAAAAAUACCCUGCAUGUGGCCCUUCACCUAAAUUAGUUUUCCCGACCAUCACGAGAGAUGACAGCUCCUUUACCCUAUGACAGACAAGUGGAGUCUAUUCUGUUUCUAUUUUUUAAAACUCAAAUGUAUAACAGUUGUAUUGAGAUAUAAUUCACACGACCAAAGAAAUCACCCAUUCGAAUGUACAAGUCAGUGGUUUGUAGGAUAUACCUGGGUGUGUAGCCAUCACCGUAAUAAGUAAAGCAAAUUGAAAAUAAUGUCAGAAAGGCUAAAGUUUCUUCCCAGCAGCCUAACACUGUAUUUUUAAUUUUUAAAAAUGAACAUAUGUGAACGAUUUUAUUUAAUUAGUUAAUUGGAAACCAGCAGGAUGGUAAAGCCAGUUUGAAAUCUUUGAGAAACUGAGUAUUUAUGUAUUUUACGUGUUUAUGUUUAUUGAAGUAUAAUUGACUUAUGGUAUUAUUUUGGUUUCAGGUAUAUGUGAUAUUUUUAUAGAUUAUACUCCAUACAGAGUUAUUAUAAAAAAUUGACUAUCUUGUGCUAUACAUUACAUCCUUGGAACUCCUUUUUUUAUUUUAUACCUAGUAGUUUGUACUCCUAAUCUCCUUCACCUCUUUUACCCUACCUCUUAGCCCUCUGGUUAACCACUAGUUUGUUCUCUCUGUGAAUCUAUUUUAUUAUAUUCUUGCAUUUAUUUUAUUUUCCAGAUUUCACGUACAAUUGAAAACAUACAGUACUUAUCUUUCUCUCUCUUUUUUCACCAAGCAUAAUGCCCUCUAGGUCCAUACACUUUGUCACAAACAACGAAUUUCACUCUUAAGCAGAUGCAAGCCUGCUUUGGAUGCUCCAGAAGACCUGGGCAUGUCUCUCAACAUACUUACCCUCAGUUGUUUUUAUUACUGUAUUGUAUCUGUCCCAUAGAAGGAAUUUAGUAGCAUCUGAGUGGGAAGGAAUUGGAUAUUGGGGCCCUUGUUUUCCUGAGGUAUGAAAUGUUGACAAAUGAAUUUGUCAAUUGAUGAAGCUGAUUUAAGAAAAGGGGAAAACAGUGUUUGGUUAAAAUAUUGUACAAAUUUUAUUUGCACCAAAUACAGUAUUUGGUACAGAAUAUUAAAAAAAGAAAUAUAUAGUCCAGUGAAAAAAUGAAUGGUAAUGGAAGUUAUAUUAUAACUGCAAAUAACACAAGUUGUCACAUGUAGAAAUUAUGGGAGAUCUUUCUGCUGUUCUUGCUAAUUCUUCUCCUUUUCUGUUCCUGAAAUCCUAGCUUUAUUCUGCCUGUCAUAUUUCACCUCUCUCCUUUUUCUCCUUUACCUUUUUCUCUCUCUGUCCCCACUUCUCCCCACGACAAGCUGAGCAAGAGUGAAGGUUUUGAGUUUGUGCCUUUCCCCACUUAGCCGUAAAAACCAAUCAAGUAUGUUGUGAAGAUAGCCCUGGUAUGAGGGGAAAUAAGCUUCAAAUGCAGAAUGAUUACUGUUGGCGAUGGUGUAUAAAAUAAAUAAAAGGAUGUUAUGUGGAAUGUUCCUUCCGGGCUGAAAUGCACACAUUACAUGAUCUGGAUGGUAAACUGAGCCAGCUUAACCCUGGCUCCUGGAAAUGACGGUGUUUAUAAAUUUGCACGGUGACAUUUGUAUGAAUCAGCCUUUAAUUUUUACUGCAUUGAAUACACUUAAUAUUGUUAUUUUAAUCGUUCUUUUAGAGCCAUUUAUGCUAUGGGAAAGAAACACUAGUUGAAAAUUUGAAAUGCUUAGAAAUUGGAUGGUUUUUGUUUUACCUAAGCUUUCAUGAUGGUUGUAAUUAAGAUUUUGUUUGUAGAUCACCCUGCUGUAGCAUGUGAGGAAAAAGCUUUUCCUUUCAUGAUUUUCUCACUGAAAAUAGUUUUUGUCAUUUCUAUUUAAAAAAGCUUUUUCUUAAACAAUCAGCAUUCCUUAUUUAUUUCUAUAGGUUUUGAAAUGUGUAUUGCUCCCAGUAUAUUUCAACAAUAAUGGGAAAAAUGAAGGAUAACGUAGAAUUACACCCCUGAGCAAAAUAUUUGAGGUUUAUUAUUUGUUGUUUAUUCCAGUUCUGUUUCCUAUUAUAUUUGUAACUUUAACAGUGCCAUAACAGUGGUGUGGAUUCAGCUUUCCUUAAAAAUGGAUUUGAAUAGUCCAUGAUUCCUAUUUACUAGAUCAAAAUCAACAGAGGCAUUUCAUCAAGACUAAUAUUCAUCCUCUUCAGCAAUUUGAGAAAACUUUAAGAAGUAAAAGUCGAGUUCAAUAUCAACCUUUACUGAUGUGUUACAGCUUAAUUUAUAAAAGAGAUGCACUGGCAAGAGCUUUCCCAAAACAAACAUAUAAACAACCCCCCAAACUACAGGUGUGGGCCACCAUUAUCUUUUCCGAGUUUUGUGCCUUUAAUGUGUUUGGGUCUCUCUGGGGUGCAUAAUAUAUGUGAUUUGUUUGAGAUUCAGCCAUAAAUUAGUAGUGAUUUUUCUCCAUUAUGAACUUUACACAUAAUGAAUUUCAGGAAGUACACAACAACACCUUCUGCUUGUAGAUAAAGACAGUAAUAUGAUGGAGUGAUCAAGUACGAAUGCUCCUUUAAUUUAUUUUACCAAGACAUUUAUCUAUGUUUUAUUUAUAAGGCAAUUGAAGCCAUUCAUUUUGUGUGGAACUCUUCCCCUCUGAAUAACAAGUAAUAUAUUAUCAUAUAUACCGCAUUGGAGAAGGGAGUGAUGAAAGCCACACUUGAAAAUAAAAGUUUAAUAUUUUGGGCUCAUUGGGCACAAUUAUAGUGGCACUAUCUUUGUUUUCAACUGAAUUAUAAUUGCAUGUGCAGAUUUUUAAAAAAAGUUGAGGUGGCAUGGUAGGGUAGAAAAUCGAUCAUUCAAGGAGGGAAGAGGUAUUUUUUUUUGCCACUGCAGAGCAUUUAAAAUGCACAGAUUGUCUCAGAAAUAACCCUUUGUAAGGUUCUCGCACACACAUGAUUUUAUGUCGUUUCAUUUUAUGAGUGAACAGAAUAAAGUAGAAGCCCAUCUGCCCUAUGGUGUGGCCGUGUGAAAGCCAUGGUCAUUGGUUUUGAACUCUUUUCAGAAACUGUCCCAUUUGAGGGGCACUUGCAACGUUUCAUUUCGGAACCAAGUCAGGUUGCCUAUUGUGUUUGCUGUCGCCCAGUGCCAUGCAGAAAUCUUUGUAAAGCCGCAUCAUAUAGUUAGAGGAAAAGAUCACGCUGGAAAGAAAAGUUGAAAGUUGAGGAGUUCCUGUCAUGGCUCAGCGGAAACGAAACUGACUAGGAUCCAUGAGGAUGCAGGUUCGAUCCGUGGCCUCACUCAGGGUUAAGGAUCUGCUAUCGCCGCGAGCUGUGGUAUGAGUCACAUACAUGGUUACGACCUGGUGUGGCCGUGGCUGGGGUGUAGGCCAGUGGCUACAGCUCCAAUUCAACCCUUAGCUUGGGACCCUCCAUAUGCUGCGGGUGUGGUCCUAAAAGAAAACUCAAAAAACAAAAAAAGUUUAAAUGUAAAAUCUCAUAACAUAAAUAAGAGAUGUUAGUUAGCGCUUGGGUACCUCUACAUGUUGAAGUGCCCAAGAGCUAUGCUACAUGUUGGAUUCUGUAGGGAUUUAACUAUAUUAAGAUUACUAGCUCCCUGUAAAUUCAUUUGGAUAGAUCCAUGCAAUGUUGAGAUAAUUUACUGUCAUGUUUUCCUAACCAUGGUCCCAGACAACUCAAAUCUUCCUGUUAAGAUUCCUUUCAAUAAUGAGCUCGCUCUUAGCAAAUUGAAAGUGUCUGACUUCAAAACCAUGGCUCAGUGGUCAAUGAAUCUGACUAGCAUCCCUGAGGAUGGAGGUUCGAUCCCUGACCUUGCUCAGAGGGUUAAGGAUCUGGCAUUGCCGUGAGCUGUGGUGAAGGUCACAGAUGCGGCUUGGAUCCUGCGUGGCUGUGGCUGUGGUGGAGGCCACCAGCUAGAGCUCCGAUUCGACCCCUAGCCUGGGAACCUCCCUGUGCUGAAUGUGUGACCCUAAAAAGACAAGCAAGCAAGCAAGCAAACAAACAACACUGUUUCAGCAGCAUCCCUUAUGUACAGAGAUUGCGCUAUGAAAACAUAUUUGAUAAUUAUAAAGAUGGUGGUUUGUGAUUGUUUUAAUCUCGUUUAGAAUUUCACAAAGUUAUUCUGUUUGGGGCAUUUGAAAUCCUUUUUAUACAGAGAGCUUCGACCUGUCCUAGCUUGCGAGUGUGACAUUUAGCCAUUUGAGUUGCCAUAGGUUUAUUUGCUAGUCAGGACUACCGUAUUGUAAGGUCCAUGGUUCUUGGAAGUGCCUUACAGCAUCACUUCAAUAGUACCUAAGGUACUGUUUUGGACUGAGGAAAGUGUAACCUGUUUGCAGAGCUGCUGCAGAACUGCCUUUUCCUAUCCUGGAACAGCCACUGUUGCUAGUGUAAGAUUUCCAAGGUCAAGCCUGUUGGUGGAAAUUAUUUCUCUUGAGACCAAAUAAGACAUCUCAAGCUUUUUAAGGUUUUAUUGUAGUUUCCAAGUGAGAUUAGUAAGCUGGUAUUGUUUCCUAACAUGUUUAUGGAUUUCAGAAGAGAACAGUAUACCUGUUUUUGUCUUGGAAAAUUCUUCCUCCUGAUGGGCUUUAUGCUUGAGUUUCUGGGACCACUUGGGAUUAUUCUCUCUUCUCCAUCUUAUUUCUUUCUAAGGUAGAGUUCUUUGCCUUUUCUGAAUCAUGAACCCUUUUGACUUUAAAAGUCAUAGGAGCGCAAGAGGAACCAACUAUGUUGAAAUAGCAAUAUAUGGGGAAUUCCCAUUGUGGCUCAGCGGGUUAAGAACCUGACUAGUAUCCAUGAGGACAUGAGUUUGAUCCCUAGCCUCACUUGGUGCAUUAAGGACCCAGCAUCACUGCGAGCUAUGGCGUAGGUCACAGAUACAGUUUGGCAUUCUUUGGCCACCUCUAGCCUGCCACAGGAACAUCCCUAAAAAGACAAAAAACAAAAGACCCAAUAUCUAAUGGCAGUUGUUAAGUUAGCAUAAGUGUAAUUUUGAGGUACUUGCUACAAUGUAUAUGUUACUAAAAUAGUACUGACUUCUGUUGAUCACAAAGUUACAGUAUGUUAAUACUAUUACUGUUGUUGCCUAUAAUAAGAAUGGAAGAAAAUGCUAAUUUCCAACUAGCAGUUAGUAGAUUCAAGAUGUUCUUCCCCAUCUGAGGUCAUACCCUUGUUGAAUUCUGUCUGUGGACCUCAGGUUAAGUACCUCCCCCUUUCUACAGGGCCUCCUGCGGGUCUGACAGGUGCUUUUCCUGAGCCAGUAUUCCAGUGUGAGAUCAUUACCUGCUCUUUGUUCCUGAAGGGCUGACUUCUUACCCACUAGCAGAUGAGGCCGAUAAUGCUGCUAACGCUUCAGUCUCUUUAGCUUCUUCUGCCAGGAGAGACAUAUGUUUGGUCAUUAUUUUCCUUUCCCCAGUAAUUGGCUCUUUCUUCACUUGGGAGACCAGUACCAUUUUGUUAGCCAAACUGUUGAGAAAUUCUUGUUUCUUUGGAAUGGUAUAGGCCAAAGCAUAAAUCAGUUUGACAGAAAUAGCCACUCUUUUUGUUUCCAAUUUGCCCAAAUAAGUUAAUCUCAUUUAUAAAUGUUGACGACGACUCCUGUAUCCAAGUUGAGGCCAGGCUAGGAAUUCAUUUGUGAUAUAGGUUCGGUCACCUGAAAUAAACUGGACUAAGAGGAAAGACCAAACUGACUUGCAAAGAGUUUUAUUUAUUUUUUAACAUGUGACCUGAGCUUAUAUAAAACUUUUCCCAUUGAUCCUACAUUCUACUUCUCAAGAGAGCAGAUUAUCAGGAUAUAGCUUCAGUGCAACAAACUAUGGAUUUAUAUAGACAUUUCACUUCUGUGGGCACAUUAGAGAGAAUCAGCAGUAAGAAGAAAGCUGAUUUACUGAAGAGUUUUACUGGGAAGGAGAUUUAGAAGAGAAUAGACAAGAGAGCAAAGCUCUAGGGCCCCUAUCCAUAAUAUUCUCCCUAUUAAUUGGAUUUUUCUUGCAUCAAGCUGUAGUUGAUUUGAAGUAAAUAAUACAUAUUUGAGUCAUGCAAUAUUUUGGGCCUUUUGUUAACUAAGGGCUCGGAGCAUACACCUAGAGACCCUUAUCUCAGAUCUUCUUCAGAUGUGUCUGCUAUAUUAUAUCUAGAGCUACAGGUAAAGGAAAGAGAAGAUUUAGGCAGAAAAGUGGAGGGUAUUCUGGAAAGGUUGGAAAGCCUCUGGAAAACUAAAGAAAAAAAAA
ensembl:lncRNA